GAGGGAGGGAGGGAAAAGAAAGGCCGAGCGAGUCCGUCCGUCCGCCGCCACCAACUGGCGCUUCACUCGGCCGCCGCCAUCUUGUCUGUCUGUCGCUCGCUCGCUUUCUUUCUCGCUGCCGAUAUCCAGGACACAAAAUGCCUCCAGCCCGCGACCGACGCUUCUUCACCGCGCUGAGUACUCUGGGAAACUGGGGAGAACACCAGCCUGCGCAUGCGUCUCCCAAAGGGAGGAAAAGAGGACAAGCAGGAAGUGUGCGUGAUCUUAACGCCUUAGCAGGGCGAGGCUGGUUCAAAACAUGCGCAUGCGCAAAAGGCGGCAGACUUGUUCUUUGAAGCGGAGAAACCCCGCCCUCCGUUUUAGGGAAUUAGAAUUACGCAGUUACCAUCGUUCCACACAUGCAAAAAAGGUUUGUUACUUUAUCGUUCAAGUACAAAAAGGCCGGCUAUGCGCAUGCGCUUUCCGAAGCGAAGAGGCUUUAGGAAUAUGUCAAGACUCGGGUAGACGGGUAUACAAAACUGUAAUCCAGAAAUGGGAGAACUACGCUAUUUCAUAGAGAAAGGAAUGAAACUUACUGUACGAAUAUUUUGUAUUAAUUCAGCAAAGAUUAAUCACUGCUCCUUCCUCAAGCAGGGAAUGGAUGGGUUUUGUUGCUGCUGCAGGAUCUGUGACAACUUGGAACAGGACACUGAUUUUAGUUCCCUGAUAGGUCAGUGUCAGUGCAGACCAUCAUAGAUUUUCCUCAAAGUGUUUUUGAGGGAUUAGGGGAUAGAACCACCUUCACAGUCAAACUAGAGAUGAAUAAACAUUUUGUAUCAAGAGUUGCUGUCAACAUAUUCUUGCAUUACAACAUAACCUGUAUCAAGCAAUUCUAGUUUAACCUUUCAGAUUGGACUUGCAGUGAUGUAUGGGAAGAAUGGAGAUGAGAAAAGGUGGUACAAAAUAAGAGGAGGAAGAUUGUCAUGUAGGAUAUUAGAAAAAAAAAUAACAUGCAGCAUUGCUUUAUGAAGAAUUUUAUUUAUUGUUAAUUUCUUGCCAGAUUUAUCUGUUUAACAAUCAGGGCAACUUGACUGUAAAGAAAAUACAAAAUAGAAACAAAGCAAUUAAAAUCUUAAUAAACAAUCAGCAAUUAAAGGCUUGAUAGAAAGAUGUGCUUUGCCAACUACCUAAAUGCUUGUAGAGUGGGAGCCAUGUUUUCAUGGUCUGGAUGCCACAUAGGAGGUCUUUUCCUAUAUAAUAAAUAGAUGAAACUCUGACAGUGAAUGGCUGCUCCUGCUGAUAUGAGUAGUUGGGCUGGUUCGUAAUGGGAGAAGCACUCUUACAGGGAGACGCUACACUGUUUAGGGCUUUCUAAGUCUACUAAAACUGUGAACAGUAUCCAAUAGGCAACUGAUAGCCAGUGCAAAUAUUUCAGGACAGGAACCAUACGAUUCCCUAUUCACUGCACCAAUCAGCAGCCUAGCUGCUGCAUUUUGUACCAUUUUCAAGUUCUGUACACUUUCAAGGAUGUCCCCAUAUACAGCACAUUGCAGUAGUCCAGGUAGGUUGCAACCAUAGUAUAGAUAACUGUUGCUGUGUUGUGGUUUACAAAUGUGCUCCUUGCCAUGGUGGCAUUUGCAAGUGCAAGUUAGGGAACAAAAAACACGCCAAACUGCAAAUCUUCAUCUCAGUCCCUGAGUCCAGAUUUUUCCUUAUUAACAGCACCUCCAUCUUAUCUGGAUUUAAUUUCAGCUUGUUCUCUCUGAUCCAGCCCAUUAUUGAGAUUAGGCAGCAUUCAGCCAUACUGAUUGCUUCCUUGGAAUUAGAGGGUAAGGAGCAGUAGAACUGAAUGUCAUAAGUGUACUGAUGGCACCUAACUCCAAAGCUCGAGAUGACCUCUCCCAGAAGUUUUCAGUUACCAUAUUUUUCCAUCUAUAAGACAAUACUUUUUUCUAAAAU